UAAGCCUGUGAAGGUGGCCUGUGAGGGUUGCUGGAGGUAUCAGAAGUGCGAAUGCUGACAUAAGUAACGAUAAAGCGGGUGAAAAGCCCGCUCGCCGGAAGACCAAGGGUUCCUGUCCAACGUUAAUCGGGGCAGGGUGAGUCGACCCCUAAGGCGAGGCCGAAAGGCGUAGUCGAUGGGAAACGGGUUAAUAUUCCCGUACUUGGUGUUACUGCGAAGGGGGGACGGAGAAGGCUAUGUUGGCCGGGCGACGGUUGUCCCGGUUUAAGCGUGUAGGUGUGUGUUCCAGGUAAAUCCGGUUCACUUUAACACUGAGGCGUGAUGACGAGGCACUACGGUGCUGAAGCAACAAAUGCCCUGCUUCCAGGAAAAGCCUCUAAGCAUCAGGUAACACGAAAUCGUACCCCAAACCGACACAGGUGGUCAGGUAGAGAAUACCAAGGCGCUUGAGAGAACUCGGGUGAAGGAACUAGGCAAAAUGGUGCCGUAACUUCGGGAGAAGGCACGCUGACACGUAGGUGAAGUGAUUUACUCA
rnacentral:rRNA from 1 species